ACGGGGGGGGCAAGCGUUGUUCGGAAUUACUGGGCGUAAAGGGCUCGUAGGUGGCCAACUAAGUCAGACGUGAAAUCCCUCGGCUUAACCGGGGAACUGCGUCUGAUACUGGAUGGCUUGAGUUUGGGAGAGGGACGCGGAAUUCCAGGUGUAGCGGUGAAAUGCGUAGAUAUCUGGAGGAACACCGGUGGCGAAGGCGGCGUCCUGGACCAAUACUGACACUGAUGAGCGAAAGCCAGGGGAGCAAACGGGAUUAGAUACCCCGGUAGUCCUGGCCCUAAACGAUGAAUGCUUGGUGUGGCGGGUAUCGAUCCCUGCCGUGCCGAAGCUAACGCAUUAAGCAUUCCGCCUGGGGAGUACGGUCGCAAGGCUG
rnacentral:rRNA from 1 species